UAGCGACAGGCCUAACACAUGCAAGUCAGGGGCAGCACAAGGAGCAAUCUGAGGUGGCGACCGGCGCACGGGUGAGUAACACGUAUGCAACCUGCCUGUAAGCGGGGAAUAACCCGUUGAAAGACGGACUAAUACCGCAUAAUACUAAAUUACUGCAUGGUAAUUUAUUUAAACAUUUAUGGCUUACAGAUGGGCAUGCGCAUGAUUAGCUAGUUGGAGAGGUAACGGCUCCCCAAGGCAACGAUCAUUAGGGGUUCUGAGAGGAAGGUCCCCCACACUGGUACUGAGACACGGACCAGACUCCUACGGGAGGCAGCAGUGAGGAAUAUUGGUCAAUGGACGAGAGUCUGAACCAGCCAAGUCGCGUGCAGGAAGAAUGUCCUAAUGGAUUGUAAACUGCUUUUGCAGGGGAAUAAAGUGCAUCACGUGUGAUGUUUUGUAUGUACUCUGCGAAUAAGGAUCGGCUAACUCCGUGCCAGCAGCCGC
rnacentral:rRNA from 1 species